UACGAGGGGGGCAAGCGUUGUUCGGAAUUAUUGGGCGUAAAGGGUGCGUAGGUGGUUCGGCAAGUCUUGUGUGAAAUCUUCAGGCUCAACUUGAAGUCUGCACAAGAAACUGCCGGGCUUGAGUAUGGGAGAGGUGAGUGGAAUUUCCGGUGUAGCGGUGAAAUGCGUAGAUAUCGGAAAGGAACACCUGUGGCGAAAGCGGCUCACUGGGACCAUUUACUGACACUGAGG
rnacentral:rRNA from 1 species